UACGGAGGGGGCUAGCGUUGUUCGGAAUUACUGGGCGUAAGGCGCACGUAGGCGGCUUUGCAAGUUAGAGGUGAAAGCCCGGGGCUUAACCCCGGAAUUGCCUUUAAAACUGCAUCGCUAGAAUUGUGGAGAGGUGAGUGGAAUUCCGAGUGUAGAGGUGAAAUUCGUAGAUAUUCGCAAGAACACCAGUGGCGAAGGCGGCUCACUGGCCCGAUACUGACGCUGAGGCACGAAAGCGUGGGGAGCAAACAGG
rnacentral:rRNA from 1 species